UACAGAGGUCUCAAGCGUUGUUCGGAUUCAUUGGGCGUAAAGGGUGCGUAGGUGGCGGGGUAAGUCUGGUGUGAAAUCUCGGAGCUCAACUCCGAAACUGCACUGGAUACUGCCUUGCUCGAGUACUGGAGAGGAGAUUGGAAUUUACGGUGUAGCAAGUGAAAUGCGUAGAUAUCGUAAGGAAGACCAGUGGCGAAGGCGAAUCUCUGGACAGUUACUGACACUGAGGCACGAAGGCCAGGGGAGCAAACGGG
rnacentral:rRNA from 1 species